GACGAACGCUGGCGGCGUGGAUUAGGCAUGCAAGUCGGACGGUAGGGCUUUAUCGUAAGAUAGAGUUUGAGAGUGGCGAACGGGUGAGUAACACGUAGGAAUCUACCCUUAAGACGGGGACAACCCAGGGAAACUUGGGCUAAUACCGGAUGAGAGUGCGAGAGAUUGCAUUUAAAAGGAUGGCGAAAGUUGUCGCUUAGGGAUGAGCCUGCGGUCUAUUAGUUAGUUGGUGAGGUAAGAGCUCACCAAGGCGAUGAUAGAUAGGCGGCCUUAACGGGUGGUCGCCCACACUGGGAUUGAGAUACGGCCCAGACUCCUACGGGAGGCAGCAGUCGAGAAUAGUCUACAAUGGCCGGAAGGCUGAUAGUGCGACGCCGCGUGAACGAGGGAGCCCUUCGGGGUGUAAAGUUCUUUAUAUGUGAGCAGUGGGUUCCAUAUGAAUAGUAUGGGAUCAGAGAUAUUAGCAUAUGAAUAAGACAACGGCUAACUCCGUGCC
rnacentral:rRNA from 1 species